rnacentral:lncRNA from 7 species
AGCCAGGAACCGAAAGCUGCAUUUCCCGGGAUGCCCUGGAGCUCCACUUUGCUGACUGGUAAUUGUCUGCCCAGCAGGUGGCAGCAGAGAGCUGCAGUGCUCCCGAGUGCUGUAAGGACUGCACGGAGAGAUGUGCAGGUCUUCACGGGAACAGCCAGGAACCGAAAGCUGCAUUUCCCGGGAUGCCCUGGAACUCCACUUUGCUGACUGGUAAUUGUCUGCCCAGCAGGUAAGGACAAUGCACACCCACCAGUGUUUACCCCUUACUGAGUGAGACACAAGGUAGGGUUCCCAGAGCUCCUUUCUGCACUGCAGGGUUCCCCGAAGGCUGCCCCUCCUAUUCUUUGCACGUUCUCCUUGGCUCUGGCCUUUCACGGCGGUGUUCUCCUUCCCUUUGCCCUUGGCGUUCCCUACUACAUUCUCUUGUCCUCUUUGCAUUCCUUGUCAUCUUCUCUUGGCCUUUGCCCUUGACUUUCUUGGCCACAUUCACUUAAACAUUCAGUUUUGGCGUUCCCUGCAGUGCUCUCUUGCCCUU